rnacentral:tRNA from 1 species
GCCCGAUUCGUCUAGAGGCCUAGGACGCCGCCCUCUCACGGCGGUAACACGGGUUCGAAUCCCGUAUCGGGUAC